GGAUGUUGGGCGUAUUUUAGAGCCAGUUCUGUGGGAGAAAUUCUUAUCAACAUAAGGAAAAGUAACCGCAGAAAAGACCCAGUAUGCUGCUAAAUCAAACAUCAACUUCACCCAAUCAAAAAACACAGCGGAGAAAAAUAAUAUCUGCAUUACCCGCAGUUAAUUCUAGUCGGAUUACUUUGAAAAGGACAGUAAUUAACAAUUCUGCUGGGAUAUCAAGCUUCUUAAUAGAUCUAAAAUUUUCAAAUCGUAUGUCAGCAGUAUUAGCCACUUCUCUAGGAUAUUCCAAAAAGUUUUUCAAAAACAUUUCAGAUAAUUACAUUGUCCGUAUCUAAGGUUGUUGGAAAGAUGAAAAGCAAUCUCCAAAGAAAAUACAGUGUCAGAGAAACGUGUAGAAUUAAUUUAAAAUGAGACACGAGAAAAACCAAAGUGAAAAUUGUGGUUCUCUUAUGGAGGAGGAAGAGUAACGUUAUCAAUUUCUGGAGCUGUUGUAGAAAGUUUGGAGAAUCAUCUGCUGCAGUCAUUAAUAAUAAUAAAUGUAAUGAAGCUUGGAUGUUUACUACAGAAUUAUAUAAGGCGGAGUUUCAUACAAGAGAAAAAAGUAAGGAACAAAUAUGCUAAGACUGUCUCCAGCCAGAAUUAAACAUUCAGCAUCAAGACGAGUGGUGUAUUAGCUAAUUAUGAUUUUUCACGCAUGUAGGAGCCAAAUGGAAUAGUGAACUGCAGUUGUUGUGAAAGUGCGUUCCAACAGAAGGACUUUUGUUUGGAAUCAAAAGUUAGACCGUUGAGCUGGUGCCCCAAAGAGAAGCUAGUACUGUUCAGACUAUUGUAAAAAACAACAACAAGGGUUGUAAAACGAAUAGCAAAAACUGAGCAAAUACUUGUAAAAUAAAUUAAAUAAAAUGGGGACAAUUAAACAUUUAAUUAAGAACUUUUAUGAGUACCUUGUGUGUUUAUAGAAUAUCAAAAAUAUGUGGAUUCUCAAUGAUACUACAGCAUUUUAUGAGUACAGAAACACUCAUUUGGA